rnacentral:rRNA from 1 species
CAGCAGUAGCCGCGGUAAUACGUAGGGCGCAAGCGUUGUCCGGAAUUAUUGGGCGUAAAGAGCUCGUAGGCGGUCUGUCGCGUCUGGUGUGAAAUCCCGAGGCUCAACCUCGGGCUUGCAUCGGGUACGGGCAGACUAGAGUGCGGUAGGGGAGACUGGAAUUCCUGGUGUAGCGGUGGAAUGCGCAGAUAUCAGGAGGAACACCGAUGGCGAAGGCAGGUCUCUGGGCCGCAACUGACGCUGAGGAGCGAAAGCAUGGGGAGCGAACAGGAUUAGAUACCCGGGUAGUCCCUGUCUCUUAUAC